rnacentral:rRNA from 1 species
AAAUUGAAGAGUUUGAUCAUGGCUCAGAUUGAACGCUGGCGGCAGGCCUAACACAUGCAAGUCGAACGGUAACAGGAAGAAGCUUGCUUCUUUGCUGACGAGUGGCGGACGGGUGAGUAAUGUCUGGGAAACUGCCUGAUGGAGGGGGAUAACUACUGGAAACGGUAGCUAAUACCGCAUAAUGUCGCAAGACCAAAGAGGGGGACCUUCGGGCCUCUUGCCAUCGGAUGUGCCCAGAUGGGAUUAGCUAGUAGGUGGGGUAAAGGCUCACCUAGGCGACGAUCCCUAGCUGGUCUGAGAGGAUGACCAGCCACACUGGAACUGAGACACGGUCCAGACUCCUACGGGAGGCAGCAGUGGGGAAUAUUGCACAAUGGGCGCAAGCCUGAUGCAGCCAUGCCGCGUGUAUGAAGAAGGCCUUCGGGUUGUAAAGUACUUUCAGC